ACCCUUGCAUAAAAAUCUGCUUUAAUAGAAUUGUUAAAUUAUAUUUAAUUUUAGUAAAAUAAUUAUGUAAAAGCCUUCAGCUCAUUUUAAAAGUCUUUUCGUCAUUUAUUUUCAACGUUUAUUUAAAUUCUUGGAUUUUGUUUUAAGAGCCUGUUCCUACAGGAACCUAUGCAAUCAUAGAUCGGUACCUAGCUGAACAACAGGCUGUAUGGUCAGCUGGUCCCAGACGCCCAGUGACACUUCCUGGCCCAGGACCUUGGGGCAAAUGCUCAACUAUACCUACCCGCAGGGUGGAGCCACUCUGAACCUGGGGCUCCAUACUUUCUUGGCCAGGGGCCAAGUUUACCUUGUCAAUAAGGUACAUGUAGGGACACAUUCCUUGGAUGCCCUAAGGUUUCUCUAUCUGUUCACAAAGGCUUUAUACUCACAAGUUCAAGCCCAGUGAGCGAUGUUCACAUUAUCAAACUCUGCAUAUCAAUAGAACCCCGGAUAUCAAAGCGUUGAGCUUUUUUUGAAGCAUUUGCACCAGCAACAGUCAUCAUCUCGAGUUACUGGCAUCUCUAUGGUGUGGAACCCUCCGUCUUUGAACAUCUUAACAGCACAUGAACCAGUGGCUCUCAUCAUCUCAAGAUUCUGGUAUAUCCAUGGUGCAGGACCCUCGGUCUGCAAAGAUCAUGCAGAGCGAACCUCAGAUGCCAUUUGAUGAAAUCAAACCAUUCAAUCAGAAACACAGCCUGUUGCAGCAGUUGUUACCAUAUUGACCCCAGUCAAACCUAAGAAGUCCAUAGAUAAAUACUUUUUUAGAUGUGCUAGUCUUUACGUACCUCCUGGUUUGUUCAGCACUUACUCUGACUCUUUUAAUUUAAUGACGGGUGAAAAUGAAUGACCUUGUUCAGUUCGAAAUGACACAUCACAACAAUUCAAGUGGAAAGCCAGAAAGUCAUGUCAACAGCCACAUUUUGUAUGUGUAACAGCCAAGUUGUUUUCAAAGAAAAACAAUAUUUUACAUUUUAUUUUUUAUUUGACCAAUGUUUCAUGGGAAUUAUGAUGCUGUCAGUCUCUUUAUGUUGAAAGUUUUGGUUAAAAAUAGCAUGUUAAUUUUUUUUUAAAGCACACAUAUUGCAUUUAUAUCCAAUGUCUUUGUCUGUAUAAUGAAUUUUUCACUACAUAUUUUGAUCCUUAUAAUGGUAAAUGUAUGGGAAAAACAAUUUUAUCAAAGAUAUUCUAAGAUUGUCAAGUCUGUUUAAAUGAUGCUGGUAACUUUGACAAAAUUGAAAAAAAAGGAGUAUUUUCAUAUUAUAAGAUAUGUUUCAGUUGUCUGUUUUUACCCGUAAUAUAGAUAAGCUAAUUUAAUGAAUUGUUCACGAAGGUUUAUAACUUUUACACUUCAGCUUUUUCUGUCUUUUAAUCCUUCCGAAAACAAUACUAGUCAAUUUGCUGAUUUGGGUCGGUAUUCGAUCAUGAAUCUUGUUUAGUAGCAUACUAUUUCAUUGGAAUAAUAAUACAUUCUGGGAAAAAUUAUUUAAUCUAACUAAAAUUAUUGAUUCUGUAAAUACCACUUUGUUGAUUUCAAUGGAUAUUGUUUGUAAAAUUAAUAUAGUAUGACUAUUGCGUGUUUGGGAAAGCUUUUAAUGAAACUGAGUAUUAUAAAAAACAAAAAAACAAAUAAAGAGUUUUAUGAAAAUUGUCAAAACUUAUUAUUGUUAAUUUGUGUUGUUAGAUCAUAGAUGUGUAUGCUCACAAUUGUUAAACUUUGUUUUUGGACACAAUAGUUUAUUAUGCGUAUCCUCUUUAAUAAGUGAGUAACUUAAUCAAGAUUUAUUGAUCACUGUAUAUAUUCUGUAGGUAUAUUUUGCCAUUUAUACAUAAAGCAACUGUAGAACAAUUGUAUUUUAAAUGUAAAUUAUUCUUGUAUUGUUGCCAUUUGUAUAAUAUAAACUAACUGUUUACCUUAGUUUGUAAAAACCUUUGUAAAAAAACAUUUCCUGUUUGAAUGCUCAUAUAUAUAUUAAACUGUUAAAAUAAUGCACAGUACCAGAAAAAAAUAGUCAAUUACACAGUAAGGGAAAGUGUUGUCAUAUGCUAACAAUUGUAUAAAAUUGCAAUUGUCUCUAUUUGUAAUAAUAGAGAGCAAUAUUAUUUGCUUAAAAAAUAAAGAUGUCUGCUUUGUAAAUUAAUAAUUGUGUUUACAUCUCAACAUAACACGUAAAUACAUUAAAGUCUAAAAGGAUUUUUUGGAAUAAACACUUAAAUAAAUAUAUGUGCGUGUAUACGCUGAUAAAAAAAAUUUACAUUUCAUUUAGUUUUGUAACAGCGCAUUUGACCUUUCACGUUGACCAUCCCACACUUGCUGUCAGUGCAGUGCCUUCAUUAGGGUCAUUUUUAUGCUCCUGGUAGGGUGGCAUAUAGCAGUUGAACUGUCCGUCAGUAUGUCAGUCUGUCCUUUUGUCCGAAAAAAACUUAAACAUUGGCCAUAACUUUUUAAAUAUUGAAGAUAGCAACUUGAUAUUUGGCAUGCAUGUGCAUCUCAUGAAGCUGCACAUAUUGAGUGGUGAAAGGUGAUGGUCAAGGUCAUCCUUCAAAGUCAAAUGUCAAAUUUAUUGCGUCUGUCCGUCCGUCCAAAACUUUAACAUUGGCCAUAACUUGUUCAAUAUUGAAGAUAGCAACUUGAUAUUUGGCAGCCAUGUGUAUCUCAUGGAGCUACACCUUUUGAGUGGUAAAAGGUCAAGGUCAUCCUUGAAGGUCAAAGGUCAAAAAAAAUAAUCAAAGUGGCGUUCCUAUGAAGCUGCACAUUGUGAGUGGUUCAAGGUCAAGGUCAUUAGUCAAGGUCAUCCUUCAAGGUCAAAGGUCAAAAAAAUAAUCCAAAGCAGCGUUCUCAUGAAGCUGCACAUUGUGAGUGGUGUGAGUUCAAGGUCAAGGCCAACCGUCAAGGUCAUCCUUCAAGGUCAAAAGUAAAAAAAAAAUUCAAAGCGGCGUCCUCAUGAAGCUGCACAUUUUGAGUGGUGGACGUUCAAGGUCAAGGUCAUCUUUCAAUGUCAAAGGUAAAAAAAAAUCAAAGCGGCGCAAUAGGGGGCAUACUGUGUUUCUGACGAACACAUCUCUUGUUUGUAAAUAUCCCACUGUUUAAGUUCAGCAAAUGUUUUAAGACCAGAUUUCCUUAAACUUGGGGGUGUUAUUAUUUUACUUUUAUUGAAUGCAUGAAACAUGUGUGUUCCGUUGUUGAAUAGCUAAACAUAGCUUGAUGUGUGUAGAUUGUGUGACAAAUGUUGAUCAAAUUGUUACAUAGAAAAAAACACAAUCUUAGUUAACUUGUAUGUGUUAAUUACCAAACACAAAUAUAAGUAUUUUGUAACAAUAUAAGUAUUGUCUUUAUUUGAAAUACAGAAUGAAAUGCAAUUUUAAAAUCAUGUCUUUAUAUGUUCAUCUUCUCCAAAUAAGCAUUUUGAAUAAGCAAAUAUAAUAUCUCUAUGGAAAGUAUCCGUAGGCCCCAUGCAAUCGCUUGUGUACCUCAUAUUGAUCAGGGUCUUUCUAAAUUACUUCAUGAUUGGUUAUCCCUGUCUGAAUUGUGUAAAUAGCUUCAAAAUCGUGAGAUAACUGUUAAGAGGAUUUCAAUAUUAAAUGUUAAAAUAGUAUCUUAACACUGUAACCGUACAUCUGUUGCAUUUAUUUUAACAUGUUUAUAUGUUCUGGCUCCCUGAGUUUUAUAUUGUUUAUAAUCUUGCAUAUUUAAUUGUGUUUUAUAAGACAAACAUCAUUAUACUGAUAAUGUUGUUUUUGUCCAACAUUUCUAUGUAUACAAGUUGUAUGUAAAUAAUUAAAUAUGUUUAUGUUGAUGAUAUGUAUUUCCCGAUCUAAGUUUGAUGUUGAACUCUCAAUAAACGACAUGUUUUGCCAAUUAAAUCCCGAAUGAUUG